rnacentral:sRNA from 1 species
UUUUAGCCCUGAUGGUAACGACAUCCUUUUGUGGCGGUGUUCGCCAUAAAAGAUAUAGUGUACAGCAGGAAAUUGC